rnacentral:rRNA from 1 species
AGAACGAACGCUGGCGGCAUGCCUAACACAUGCAAGUCGAACGAACCCUUCGGGGUUAGUGGCGCACGGGUGCGUAACGCGUGGGAACCUACCAUCAGGUUCGGAAUAACAGUUAGAAAUGACUGCUAAUACCGGAUAAUGUCUUCGGACCAAAGAUUUAUCGCCUUUUGAUGGGCCCGCGUUGGAUUAGCUAGUUGGUAAGGUAAAAGCUUACCAAGGCGACGAUCCAUAGCUGGUCUGAGAGGAUGAUCAGCCACACUGGGACUGAGACACGGCCCAGACUCCUACGGGAGGCAGCAGUGGGGAAUAUUGGACAAUGGGCGAAAGCCUGAUCCAGCAAUGCGCGUGAGUGAUGAAGGCCUUAGGGUUGUAAGCUCUUUACGUGGGAUGAUAAUGACAGUACCCAGAGAAUAAGCUCCGCUAACUCGUGCCAGCAGCCGC